rfam:Trichomonas vaginalis G3, whole genome shotgun sequence.
GUAGUCUGCCAUACGCAGGAAGACCCGCUGAACUGAAGCAUCUCAUUAAGCGGAGGAAAAGAAACUAACUAGGAUUCCCUUAGUAAAGGCGAUCGAAAAGGGAACAGCCCAACGUCUUAAUCCCGCAAGGGAAAUGUAGUCGGUUCACCUAUUGCACUGGUCUAAGUCAGAUGGAAUGCUGCGCGAUUCAGAGUAAAAGCCUCGUAUGACCAACCGCAAGCUUACGAUGGACCGGGGAGAGUCGGAUACUUUGAGAGUAGUGUCUUAAGGGGGUGGUAUGUCCCAUCCAAGGCUAAAUAACGUGAGGAGACCGAUAGAUUACAAGUAGUGUGAACGAAAGAUGAAAAGAACUCUAAAACAGAGGGUGAAAAGUUCCUGAACUUGCUUAGGGUUAAGGCUAUUUAUAGUACCCGUCUUGAAACACGGAUUAGGGAGUUUAUCUGUAGUGCGAGUCUUUGCACGUUAACUGUAAAGGCGUAGAGAAAGCAACUGGCGUUUGCAUGGCUACUGAGCAUUACUGAUAGGACCCGAAAGGUGGUGAACUUUGCCUGCACAGGUUGAAGUCAGGGGAAACUCUGAUGGAGGACCGUACGGGUUAUUGAUGUGCAAAUCAUUUUUCUGAUGUAGGUAAAGGUGCGAAAGACUCAUCGAACCACCUAAUAGCUGGUUUUCCUCCGAAAGUUUCCUCAGGAUAGCUGUAAUGCAUUUAAGUAAGGGGAGUAGAGAAUAUGGGUAGAGGUGCAGGGAGCCCU